GAGAGGCCCAAACGUUAUUCGGAAUUACUGGGCUUAAAGAGUUCGUAGGCGGCGCAGAAAGUAGGGUGUGAAAGCCCUCGGCUUAACCGAGGAAUUGCGCUCUAAACUACUGUGCUUGAGGAACCUAGAGGUGAGCAGAACUGAUGGUGGAGCGGUGAAAUGCGUUGAUAUCAUCAGGAAUACCGGAGGCGAAGGCGGCUCACUGGGGGUUUUCUGACGCUGAGGAACGAAAGCCAGGGGAGCGAACGGGAUUAGAUACCCCGGUAGUCCUGGCCGUAAACGAUGAGCACUAGGCCGGAGGGCUGCACAGCCUUUCGGCCGUARMUAAAGUGUUAAGUGCUCCGCCUGGGGAGUAUGGUCGCAA
rnacentral:rRNA from 1 species